UGUUUCAAAACCUCGAUCAAAGCCUCGGACUGACGGACCUAACAGAGGACCGAAUGGAAGAGGAGAAUUGAGGAGGCCAUGGACCGGAGAGCCAUGGAAGAAGAUGAAGAUGAUGGGAAGAGAAAAGAUUGUUGCAUGUUAUUACAUAACAUGGAUAAGAAGACAGACAGGUUACUGGAUUCCUUCAUACGUGACAUUGGCAGCCCUGAUAUAGAGGUGGCAAUCGAAGCUGCCAAACAGCUACGGACAACUGCGGCAAUGAAAUUGGAAGGAAAGCAUACCAACUGGUAUUGCGGUGUGUCGAGCAACUCCGACUGCUGACCUCAAACCAAUGUGAGGGCACUCCCAGAGUAGACAUUGCAAGUGAAUUCUGAGCCCUUUUUGAGUUGCUGAUGUCGUUUUAUAGCAAUAGAACCCUCUCUGGUCAAGUUUCAAAAGAUGCGUCACGUCAUCCGAUUGAGCAGCUGAUCAAUCUAGUGGUAGAUGGGCAUAUGGAAGAGUUAGAGAGUGGAGGAUCAUAUGUUGAUAUUAUCUACAGAUUGAUAGAGCGCAUUAUUGAGCGUUCUGAUCACACAACUAUCACAUGGUAAACCAAUGUUGAUGACGCCUCAACUGCAAGAGUGUGUUGUGAUCUGCCCAAAGAGUUUGAUAAGUGAUGCUCAACGCUUUGUAUCCUCUUUGAUUCGUGCCGCUCAGGGCGUGAGAUUCGUCAUUCCGCAACCAUAUUUGCGAGUUGCCCUUACUCUGACUUUUCACAUACACUGGAAAUCUGAAAUAUGUGUUUUAUUACAGCUUAAUGCUUGUUCUCCAAAAGUUGGAAUUGAUAACGUAGUUCAGCAGAAGAGCCAUGAUGUUACAAAUGAACGCCCGUCGUCAUUUGUCGAAGCAUUGAAGGAAGUAAUUUCACGCACAGAACCCCAGUUGUUAAUGUGCAUCGUUGCAGACGGUCGCUUAUGCUGCAAUCAAGAAAAAGUGCUGUGUGGACGGAGGUGAGUUGUGUGCUCCUUUGCUACAGGCAUGUUUGUGGAGGUUGUGUUCAUGCUCGGCAGGAUUUCAUUUGGGAGCUUAUUUUCUUUCAUUUGGGCAGAACAACUGAAAAUCUCGUAAAACGGUAAUAUCCGUCAUACCACACGGGGGGUGCAGCUUGUAUGUAUUCCUGAUCACGUGGCUGUCUGUGGUUUGAUAUAUCACAAAUGGCUGAGUAUUGGAAGUAAUUUUAUGAGCAGAAUAGCUGCAUGUAGGCCAGAACUUAUAUAUAUAUAUAUAUAUAUAUAUAUAAUCGUUUCUUUCAGUGGCCAUUUCUCACACAAGUCUCUCCUGAUUCACUACUAGAAUAAGAUGCAUGCUAGGUGACUAGCAUUAUCUGCAGUCAGAGACUUUCUCACACAUACAUAACCUUGUAUCCUUGCAGCGAAUCUCAGUCUUUCCUAGAAACAAACAUUAUAGAAAUAAAUUAAAAAUCUAUAAUUUCUCUAUUACACAGCAUGAUUUACAAUAAGGUGUGAGUGAUGGUAGUAUUAUUCCCGUGUGGAGGCGGGUUAGAAUACCUCCACCGUAGCCCUGCGAGUCGUAGAAGGCGAUGAAAAGGGAACCCAGUGCCUGGGGGUAUUACUGGGCCACCCUGUCUCUGGGGGACAUAAAUACAGAGACCUGGUACUCCUGUUGCAAAAGAAAGAAGUGAAAUGUAGGUGGUGCAUCAUGGGAAGAGGUGUCAGUCUUACAUGCAGCACCCACUUGGUGUUUCCAAGUGUCUAGCAUUCAGAAAUCAGAGGUUUUACUAAAAUUCACUGACACAUUCCAAUUCUGGUUGCAAUCCGGACAACAAUAACACACGCUUCGCAUAAAGACAUUAAAAUGAGAAGAGAAUAUAUGAUUUAGGAUCUUGCAAAAACAACAUUAGAUCUUCAUUAUAUAAAGCUAGGAAUUAGGCAAACUUACGAAGAAACUAUACUCUCAGUAAACUUGAAAGCAUGCAGGAAUUGAAAAACUUUAUACAUUCUAUAAAACUGUUUGCAUAAACUUACGAAACCCUCCAACACGUGACAUGAAGCAAACAAGUUUCAUAACUAAACAGAGAUAAUUAAGUGACUUGGCUAAAUGUACUACAAUGGUUAAAACUUCAUUCCACCUUUUCUUUACUUUUGUCAAGUUUUCUAGUUUCAUUCUGACAUCAGUGCCAAGUGGAAGAAAGAAACAUUUGGAAUUUUCCUUCAGAAUGGUAAAAAAAGACCAAACAUGCAACUCACCACUCAAAUAGGAUGCCAUAUUAUCGCUCAGCUCCUGCCCUGGUGUGUGGGCAGAGACAGCCGAGAAAUACUGGCUGAAUGUCUUGUUCAGUGAAGCCACAAAGGCUCCAUACGAAUUCCCUCCUCUGGGGGUUGUGUCGUGGUAGACGUCGAAGCCCACCACCAUCAAUCCCUGAAACAAACAUACAGAGAAUCCUCCACAUUAUACACCCUCUGGUUCUGAAUACUAGACACUUGGCAACACCAAGUGGGUGCUGCACGUAAGACUGACUCUUGGGGUUUCUCUUUUCUACCAUCUCUUCCCAUGAUGCACCACCCAUAUUUAACUUCUUUCUUUCGCAACAACUGAUUUUUACAGAGUAAGGUCGUCAGCCUUACGUCCAGCCACCAACCUGGAGGAUCAGUUCUUUGUAUUUAUUUAUCCUGGAGACAGGGUGGCCCAGUAAUACCCCCCAGGCACCGAUCUACGAUAUGGGAUGGUCAGCUUUACUUACCCUCCAAAGGAAUUUGCAGUUUUUAUCACCAUUAAAAAUCCAUCGACCUUGGCCGGGUUUGAACCCGCGAACCCUGGGUCCAGUGGUGAGCACGCUACCCACUUGUCCACCGAAGGCGACCAAGAUUGCUUAGUUCUUAAUUAACUUUCAUUAUCUCAAUAUUCACUUUAAAAAAGAAUAAAAUGUCCUACCCACAUUUUUUUUUAAACUUAGUGCCAUACUGUACUCUGAUUUUAAGUUAAGGGAUGUACUUCAGAUUAUAUAUAGCAAUCAUUUUUGGAUAAUAUGAGUACACGUUACGAGCAUUUUUUAGAAUUACACAAACUGUCAUCAUAGUUUUAAACAAUUUAUUUCAUGAAUGGAAUAGCAGAUCAUCUGCUGUUAUACUGUCUAUGGCAGCUUUUUAAUAUUUUUUUAGGUAGGGGGGGUUACCACAGGCCCAAUUAUAUUAUCAACAGCAUUUAACUGGCACAAGGCAGGGGAAGAAAUUAAGCCCCUACGAAAUGCAAAUAACCAGCCUACAUAAUGUAGAUGAAUGGUAAAACUGUUUUCUUACACUGAUUGGAAUUUGAAUAGUCGAAGGAGCACCUCCAAUUUUACACCAAAGCUGAGCUGCCACUUUCUCAGCAAUGGAUUUCACAUGCAUGGGUUUGAAGCUGCCUUUCACAAUCACUUGUGUUGGCACUGAUGAAGAAAGCAAUGAUUAUGUGUGUUCUGAUCUACAUGCAGCUAUUCUGCUCACAAAGUUACUUCAAACACUUGGUCGUUUGUGACAUCUCACAGCCACAGCCAGUCAUGUUAUCAGGAAUACAUAAACUUGCAGCCACAUAGUUUGACGGAGAUUACCGUUUUAGGAGAUUUUCAGUUGUUUCAGGGAUUGAUGGUGGUGGGCUUCGACGUCUACCACGACACAACCCCCAGAGGAGGGAAUUCAUAUGGAGCCUUUGUGGCUUCACUGAACAGCACAUUUAGCCAAUAUUUCUCGGCUGUCUCUGCCCACACACCAGGGCAGGAGCUGAGCGAUAAUAUGGCAUCCCAUUUAAGUAGUGAGUUGCAUGUUUGGUCUUUUUUUACCAUUCUGAAGGAAAAUUCCAAAUGUUUCUUUCUUCCACUUGGCACUGAUGUCAGAAUGAAACUAGAAAACUUGACAAAAGUAAAGAAAAGGUGGAAUGAAGUUUUAACCAUUGUAGUACAUUUAGCCAAGUCACUUAAUUAUCUCUGUUUAGUUAUGAAACUUGUUUGCUUCAUGUCACGUGUUGGAGGGUUUCGUAAGUUUAUGCAAACAGUUUUAUAGAAUGUAUAAAGUUUUUCAAUUCCUGCAUGCUUUCAAGUUUACUGAGAGUAUAGUUUCUUCGUAAGUUUGCCUAAUUCCUAGCUUUAUAUAAUGAAGAUCUAAUGUUGUUUUUGCAAGAUCCUAAAUCAUAUAUUCUCUUCUCAUUUUAAUGUCUUUAUACGAAGCGUGUGUUAUUGUUGUCCGUAUUGCAACCAGAAUUGGAAUGUGUCAGUGAAUUUUAUUAUAGUGAAAAUCUGAUAAACGAUUUUUGAUUUCUUACAUACAGAUUGAUAGACAGACAUGACAGGCAUCUAUGAAAGAUUGGCAAUAGUUGGUGUUAUAUAUUUGCUCAAUUUACGGAGAUUACCGUUUUACGAGAUUUUCAGUUCUGCCCAUAUCAAAACGUAAAGCCUAGAAAAUCUGCUCCCAAAUAAAAUCCUGCCAAGUGUAAACACGUCCCGCACCGUAGCCGCGCGGACUGAGGCAUCAUGCUUCGUACCGCGAUACAGAAUGCGCGCUGGU